CCUUCUAUUGUUCAAGCCUGAAAGGCGCGGAUCUGCGCGGUUCGGAUCUGUCGCGUGCGGACUUGCGCGGCGCCAUCCUGCGUGGGGCGG
rnacentral:tRNA from 1 species